rnacentral:rRNA from 1 species
UGAUCGGCCACAUUGGGACUGAGACACGGCCCAAACUCCUACGGGAGGCAGCAGUAGGGAAUCUUCCACAAUGGACGCAAGUCUGAUGGAGCAACGCCGCGUGAGUGAAGAAGGUCUUCGGAUCGUAAAGCUCUGUUGUUGGUGAAGAAGGAUAGAGGCAGUAACUGGUCUUUAUUUGACGGUAAUCAACCAGAAAGUCACGGCUAACUACGUGCCAGCAGCCGCGGUAAUACGUAGGUGGCAAGCGUUGUCCGGAUUUAUUGGGCGUAAAGCGAGCGCAGGCGGUUUGAUAAGUCUGAAGUUAAAGGCUGUGGCUCAACCAUAGUUCGCUUUGGAAACUGUCAAACUUGAGUGCAGAAGGGGAGAGUGGAAUUCCAUGUGUAGCGGUGAAAUGCGUAGAUAUAUGGAAGAACACCAGUGGCGAAGGCGACUCUCUGGUCUGCAACUGACGCUGAGGCUCGAAAGCAUGGGUAGCGAACAGGAUUAGAUACCCUGGUAGUCCAUGCCGUAAACGAUGAGUGCUAAGUGUUGGGAGGUUUCCGCCUCUCAGUGAUGCAGCUAACGCAUUAAGCACUCCGCCUGGGGAGUACGACCGCAAGGUUGAAACUCAAAGGAAUUGACGGGGGCCCGCACAAGCGGUGGAGCAUGUGGUUUAAUUCGAAGCAACGCGAAGAACCUUACCAGGUCUUGACAUCCUGCGCUACACCUAGAGAUAGGUGGUUCCCUUCGGGGACGCAGAGACAGGUGGUGCAUGGCUGUCGUCAGCUCGUGUCGUGAGAUGUUGGGUUAAGUCCCGCAACGAGCGCAACCCUUGUCUUUAGUUGCCAUCAUUAAGUUGGGCACUCUAAAGAGACUGCCGGUGACAAACCGGAGGAAGGUGGGGAUGACGUCAAGUCAUCAUGCCCCUUAUGACCUGGGCUACACACGUGCUACAAUGGGCAGUACAACGAGAAGCGAACCCGCGAGGGUAAGCGGAUCUCUUAAAGCUGUUCUCAGUUCGGACUGCAGGCUGCAACUCGCCUGCACGAAGCUGGAAUCGCUAGUAAUCGCGGAUCAGCACGCCGCGGUGAAUACGUUCCCGGGCCUUGUACACACCGCCCGUCACACCAUGGAAGUCUGCAAUGCCCAAAGUCGGUGAGAUAACCUUUAUAGGAGUCAGCCGCCUAAGGCAGGGCAGAUGACUGGGGUG